rnacentral:rRNA from 1 species
ACGUAGGGGGCAAGCGUUAUCCGGAAUUAUUGGGCGUAAAGAGUGCGUAGGUGGUUUUUUAAGCGUGAGGUGAAAGGCAAUAGCUUAACUAUUGUAAGCCUUGCGAACUGGAAGACUUGAGUGCAGGAGAGGAAAGUGGAAUUCCUAGUGGAGCGGUGAAAUGCGUAGAUAUUAGGAGGAGCACCAGAGGCGAAGGCGGCUAACUGGACUGUAACUGCCUCUGAUGCACGAAAGCGUGGGCAGCAAACAU